UACAGAGGUCUCAAGCGUUGUUCGGAUUCAUUGGGCGUAAAGCGCGUGUAGGCGGUUCGGUAAGUCUGCUGUGAAAGUCCAGGGCUCAACCCUGGGAUGCCGGUGGAUACUGUCGGACUAGAGUACGGAAGGGGCGAGUGGAAUUCCCGGUGUAGCGGUGAAAUGCGCAGAUAUCGGGAGGAACACCAAUUGCGAAGGCAGCUCGCUGGGACGUUACUGACGCUGAGACGCGAAAGCGUGGGGAGCAAACAGG
rnacentral:rRNA from 1 species